UUUGGUUUUUCAAAUAAAAAAUCGAUUUCAAAAAAAAAAUGGUUUCAACGGGGGCAAUAUAUAUAAAUUUUAGAUUAUGGAAUCCUUAUAAAUUUCUAACAUAAUUGAUUUCAUCGGCAUGAUAUAUAUAUAUAAGAAACUGAAUACUUCUUCGACCUCCAUCUACACCCAUGAUUCUAGGAGUUGGUAAGUUCUGCUUGGGAAGUGAAACUAAUCCUUGCUAGUUGAACUUGGAGCUGAUUUCCCCUUUGGUUUCGAGAAAACAGAGUAGUCAACCAUACCCAAAGUCCUCUACCCAUCAACAUUCCUUGAACCAACCUUUCAAGAUACUUAUAAUUCAGAUAAAAUACUGGUCCAGCUUGUAGUUCAUCAAUUGUUGAUCAUCUACAAAAAUACUCAUACAUCUAUUCUAACUUAAUUAUAGAUCGAUCAAUCGAUCGAUCGUGAAACAAGGAGAUUACAUCACGUUACCAUCGAGAUCUAUGGGUUUAACUUUCCCAUGCAAAUGGUUGAAUUGUAAUUGGAUUGGAUGUGUAUAUCUGGCGGUGGCACAACACAUACAUACAUCAGCUUCCACAUCUUCCCGAUCAUCUCCAUCUAUUGUCCCACUACACUUUGAUGACAGUAAUAAUAGUAACACAAUAGCAAAAAGCUUGGUAAAGGUUGCCCCCUGCAUGCCUCUAAUGAUUAGAAAACUGAAACUGAAUCCUCUUUCGUUUGAGUUGCAGGGAAAGGUAAGCUAAAAGUACUCAUUUCCGGUCAACGGUAG
rnacentral:lncRNA from 1 species